rnacentral:rRNA from 1 species
AUUCACUAGGUGUAUUGCUUUGAUCCUGCGCUCAGAGCUGUAACGCGUGGCGGCGUGCUUAACACAUGCAAGAUCGAACGAGAACGGAUUAUAGCUUGCUAUAAUUGUCAGCUAAGUGGCGCACGGGUGAGUAAUGUAUAGGUAAUAUGCCUCUUACUAAGGGAUAACAAUUGGAAACGAUUGCUAAUACCUUAUACUCCUUGUUAACUUAAGUUAAUAAGGGAAAGAUUUAUUGGUAAGAGAUUAGCCUGUAUUGUAUCAGUUAGUUGGUGGGGUAAUGGCCUACCAAGACUAUGACACAUAACUGGUUUGAGAGGAUGAUCAGUCACACUGGAACUGAGACACGGUCCAGACUCCUACGGGAGGCAGCAGUGGGGAAUAUUGCACAAUGGACGAAAGUCUGAUGCAGCAACGCCGCGUGGAGGAUGACACAUUUCGGUGCGUAAACUCCUUUUAUAUGAGAAGAUAAUGACGGUAUUAUAUGAAUAAGCACCGGCUAACUCCGUGCCAGCAGCCGCGGUAAUACGGGGGGUGCAAGCGUUACUCGGAAUCACUGGGCGUAAAGAGCAUGUAGGCGGAUUAAUAAGUUUGAAGUGAAAUCCUAUAGCUUAACUAUAGAACUGCUUUGAAAACUGUUAAUCUAGAAUGUGGGAGAGGCAGAUGGAAUUUCUGGUGUAGGGGUAAAAUUCCGUAGAGAUCAGAAGGAAUACCGAUUGCGAAGGCGAUCUACUGGAACAUUAUUGACGCUGAGAUGCGAAAGCGUGGGGAGCAAACAGGAUUAGAUACCCUGGUAGUCCAC